AGUGAACGCUGGCGGCAGGCCUAACACAUGCAAGUCGAACGGCAGCACAAGAGAGCUUGCUCUCUGGGUGGCGAGUGGCGGACGGGUGAGGAAUGCAUCGGAAUCUGCCCAUUUGUGGGGGAUAACCUCGGGAAACCGGGACUAAUACCGCAUACGACCUACGGGUGAAAGAAGGGGAUCUUCGGACCUUGCGCAGAUGGAUGAGCCGAUGCCGGAUUAUCUAGUUGGCGGGGUAAAGGCCCACCAAGGCGACGAUCCGUAGCUGGUCUGAGAGGAUGACCAGCCACACUGGGACUGAGACACGGCCCAGACUCCUACGGGAGGCAGCAGUGGGGAAUAUUGGACAAUGGGCGCAAGCCUGAUCCAGCCAUGCCGCGUGUGUGAAGAAGGCCUUCGGGUUGUAAAGCACUUUUGUUGGGAAAGAAAAGCAGCCGGUUAAUACCCGGUUGUCAUGACGGUACCCAAAGAAUAAGCACCGGCUAACUUCGUG
rnacentral:rRNA from 1 species